rnacentral:lncRNA from 1 species
CAAAGUAAGUAUGAAUACUAGAAAAAAUAUUUUACGAGAUUCACAGAUGAACUCAUGUCGAGCUAAUCUAGCAUAUGACUGAUGAUGGGAUUUGACAAUUCUCCAUAACCUCCGUCUAGUCGGGACACGAUAAAGGGAUUGUAUCAUACGAUAACUACACCUAGGGAUUUAUCUUUUCUGUUCUACUGGGUUGCUACUACAUGCUGCUAGAUAUCACUAAUGGAUCGUAAGAACUCACUAAGAUUAUUUUUGGAUCAAUGAUCCUU